rnacentral:rRNA from 1 species
UGAGGAAUAUUGGUCAAUGGGCGAAAGCCUGAACCAGCCAAGUAGCGUGCAGGAUGACGGCCCUACGGGUUGUAAACUGCUUUUAGGCGGGGGUAAAGGAGCGGACGUGUUCCGCUUUUGCAAGUACCGCCAGAAAAAGGACCGGCUAAUUCCGUGCCAGCAGCCGCGGUAAUACGGAAGGUCCGGGCGUUAUCCGGAUUUAUUGGGUUUAAAGGGAGCGUAGGCGGGCUAUUAAGUCAGCUGUGAAAUCCGGCGGCUCAACCGUGGCACUGCAGCGCGAACUGGGGGGCUUGAGUGCGCGCAGCGCAGGCGGAACUCGUGGUGUAGCGGUGAAAUGCUUAGAUAUCACGAAGAACUCCGAUCGCGAAGGCAGCCUGCGGGAGCGCAACUGACGCUGAGGCUCGAAAGUGCGGGUAUCGAACAGGAUUAGAUA